rnacentral:misc_RNA from 1 species
GCCAUGUACCAUGUGGAUCAGCAGCUCCUGGAGCUAAAAUGUUUUUAAUCUGCCAUGAAUCGUAGGCUGCAUUCAGUAUAAACAAUGGUGUGCUAAUCUGCUGCGCCAUGUAUUGUGGAAAAAAGCACAUUCCAGGGGGAAUUUUUGAAGUGCAAGAGGAGGGCAGAUUCUUGGCUGAACCGUGCGUCGUCACGACAUCAUUGUAGAAUGCUUUUAUGCGCUCCGUUCCUGUAAGGUCCUUCGCAUUGAUGAAGAAACCGGCAUCCGAGAGGCAUUUCACUUUUGUGCCCGCUGGUAGAAGAGAAGGGAAGCUGUCGCAAUGUAGUAUGA